rnacentral:rRNA from 1 species
UACGGAGGGUGCAAGCGUUGUUCGGAAUUACUGGGCGUAAAGGGCGCGUAGGCGGUUUGAUAAGUCAGAUGUGAAAGCCCACGGCUUAACUGUGGAAGUGCAUUUGAUACUGUCAGACUUGAGUACCAGAGGGGAAAGUGGAAUUCCCGGUGUAGAGGUGAAAUUCGUAGAUAUCGGGAGGAAUACCGGUGGCGAAGGCGACUUUCUGGCUGGAUACUGACGCUGAGGCGCGAAAGCGUGGGGAGCAAACAGG